GAGCACUUGAUACUAACCGAGCCAUCCGUAUCCGGGCCAUGUGCAGAGAGGUCUGUGGUACACCGUGUGAUUGCUGGGUCUGAAAAGUGCUACAUUAAAACAAGCCAUGAAGUGUUUAAGCUCAGUGUAUAAAGGAAGACACUGGGUUAUAACUCAGAGGCACAGAA
rnacentral:snoRNA from 1 species